GAUGAACGCUGGCGGCGUGCUUAACACAUGCAAGUCGAACGGAAAGGCUCCUGCUUGCAGGGGUACUCGAGUGGCGAACGGGUGAGUAACACGUGGGUGAUCUGCCCUGCACUUCGGGAUAAGCCUGGGAAACUGGGUCUAAUACCGGAUAGGACCACAUUUUGGAUGGUGUGGUGGAAAGUUUUUCGGUGUGGGAUGAGCUCGCGGCCUAUCAGCUUGUUGGUGGGGUAAUGGCCUACCAAGGCGUCGACGGGUAGCCGGCCUGAGAGGGUGUACGGCCACAUUGGGACUGAGAUACGGCCCAGACUCCUACGGGGGGCAGCAGUGGGGAAUAUUGCACAAUAGGCGCAAGCCUGAUGCAGCGACGCCGCGUGGGGGAUGACGGCCUUCGGGUUGUAAACUCCUUUCGCUAGGGACGAAGCGUUUUUGUGACGGUACCUGGAGAAGAAGCACCGGCUAACUACGUG
rnacentral:rRNA from 1 species